GACGAACGCUGGCGGCGUGCUUAACACAUGCAAGUCGAACGGAAAGGCCCUGCUUUUGUGGGGUGCUCGAGUGGCGAACGGGUGAGUAACACGUGAGUAACCUGCCCUUGACUUUGGGAUAACUUCAGGAAACUGGGGCUCAUACCGGAUAGGAGCUCCUGCUGCAUGGUGGGGGUUGGAAAGUUUCGGCGGUUGGGGCUGGACUCGCGGCUUAUCAGCUUGUUGGUGGGGUAGUGGCUUACCAAGGCUUUGACGGGUAGCCGGCCUGAGAGGGUGACCGGCCACAAUGGGACUGAGAUACGGACCAGAAUCCUACGGGAGGCAGCAGUGGGGAAUAUUGCACAAUGGGCGGAAGCCUGAUGCAGCAGCGCCGCGUGCGGGAUGACGGCCUUCGGGUUGUAAACCGCUUUCGCCUGUGACGAAGCGUGAGUGACGGUAAUGGGUAAAGAAGCACCGGCUAACUACGUG
rnacentral:rRNA from 1 species